CCUGAGAAACCCAAAAGAUCGAAUGAGGAGAUUCAUCGUCAGCUGCUUUGGCUUCCGUGUGGUGCGCGAUGAUCAGGGCCUUGUGUUCUGCGUCACGCGCCCACUGCGGUAUGUCCGAAAUAGUCGGCGUGCACUUCUCCUCUAGUAGGACGUCGCGACCCGUUGGGUGCUGGUCUACGGCUCGGUAGGUCGACUGGCGAGUCGCGUUCACGCGCGUACUCGUCAGACCUCUGAAUGCCCGACCGGCUGCCCGGCGGUAUAGAACGAUAAUUUAACGGUAUUGGGCCGCAUCAAGUGCGUUCAGGCUCGUCGACAGGCUCGCCUCGCUCGGAUUUACGGACCUAGUGCCGUUGCCGGGUGCUUGGCGUGGCCGUUGGUCGGCGGUGUCCUCGGACUGGCUCUUUAUAUUCGAACGGAUAUACCGGUCGGCGACGCUACUGCUUUGGGUACUUUCAGGAC
rnacentral:rRNA from 1 species